GUUUUAAUGUGUGGAUGGGAGUGUUUUAAUGUGUGGAUGGGAGUGUUUUAAUGUGUGGAUGGGGGUGUUUUAAUGUGUGGAUGGGAGUGUUUUAAUGUGUGGAUGGGAGGAUGGGAGUGCUUUAAUGUGUGGAUGGGAGUGUUUUAAUGUGUGGAUGGGAGGAUGGGAGUGUUUUAAUGUGUGGAUGGGAGUGUUUUAAUGUGUGGAUGGGAGUGUUUUAAUGUGUGGAUGGGAGUGUUUUAAUGUGUGGAUGGGAGGAUGGGAGGAUGGGAGUGUUUUAAUGUGUGGAUGGGAGGAUGGGAGGAUGGGAGUGUUUUUAUGUGUGGAUGGGAGGAUGGGAGUGUUUUAAUGUGUGGAUGGGAGUGUUUUAAUGUGUGGUUGGGAGUGUUUUAAUGUGUGGAUGGGAGUGUUUUAAUGUGUGGAUGGGAGUGUUUUAAUGUGUGGAUGGGAGGUUGGCAGGUUGAGAGUGUUUUAAUGUGUGGAUCGGAGGUUGGCAGGUUGGGAGUGUUUUAUAAUGUGUGGAUGGGAGUUUGGCGGGUUGGGAGUGUUUUAAUAUGUGGAUGGCAGGUUGGGAGUGUUUUAAUGUGUGGAUGGGAGGUUGGGAGUGUUUUAAUGUGUGGAUGGCAGGUUGGGAGUGUUUUAAUGUGUGGAUGGGAGGUUGGCAGGUUGGUAGUGUUUUAAUGUGUGGAUGGGAGUGUUUUAAUGUGUGGAUGGGAGUGUUUUAAUGUGUGGAUGGGAGGAUGGGAGUGUUUUAAUGUGUGGAUGGGAGGAUGGGAGUGUUUUAAUGUGUGGAUGGG
ensembl:lncRNA